rnacentral:rRNA from 1 species
UCGGGAAUUUUGGGCAAUGGGCGAAAGCCUGACCCAGCAACGCCGCGUGAAGGAUGAAGUAUUUCGGUAUGUAAACUUCGAAAGAAUAGGAAGAAUAAAUGACGGUACUAUUUAUAAGGUCCGGCUAACUACGUGCCAGCAGCCGCGGUAAUACGUAGGGACCAAGCGUUGUUCGGAUUUACUGGGCGUAAAGGGCGCGUAGGCGGCAAUUCAAGUCAUCUGUGAAAUCUCCGGGCUUAACUCGGAACGGUCAGAUGAUACUGCUUUGCUAGAGUGCAGAAGGGGCAAUCGGAAUUCUUGGUGUAGCGGUGAAAUGCGUAGAUAUCAAGAGGAACACCUGAGGUGAAGACGGGUUGCUGGGCUGACACUGACGCUGAGGUGCGAAAGCGUGGGGAGCAAACAGGAUUAGAUACCCACGUAGUCCCUGAGCGGGCUGGCAAGGCGCAU